rnacentral:misc_RNA from 1 species
UCUCCGUAGGUGAACCUGCGGAGGGAUCAUUACAGAGUUCAUGCCCUACCGGGUAGAUCUCCCACCCUAUGUUAUUAUUACUUUGUUGCUUUGGCGGGCCGUUAGGCUCCGGCCCGACUACCGGCCCCGGCUGGUAAGCGCCCGCCAGAGGACCCAAAACCCUGAAUAUUAGUGUCGUCUGAGUACUAUAUAAUAGUUAAAACUUUCAACAACGGAUCUCUUGGUUCUGGCAUCGAUGAAGAAGGCAGC